UACGUAGGGGGCAAGCGUUGUUCGGAAUUACUGGGCGUAAAGGGCGCGUAGGCGGCACGGCAAGUCGGGAGUGAAAGGCCUGGGCUCAACCGAGGAACUGCUUUCGAGACUGCCGAGCUAGAGUGCGGAAGGGGCAACUGGAAUUCCCAGUGUAGCGGUGAAAUGCGUAGAUAUUGGGAAGAACACCUGUGGCGAAAGCGGCUCACUGGACCAUAACUGACGCUGAGGCGCGAAAGCUAGGGGAGCAAACAGG
rnacentral:rRNA from 1 species